UACGAAGGGGGCUAGCGUUGUUCGGAAUUACUGGGCGUAAAGGGCGCGUAGGCGGUGUGUCAAGUCAGGCGUGAAAGCCCCGGGCUCAACCUGGGAACCGCGCUUGAGACUGGCACGCUCGAGUUCGGGAGAGGAUGGUGGAAUUCCCAGUGUAGAGGUGAAAUUCGUAGAUAUUGGGGAAGAACACCGAUGGCGAAGGCAGCCAUCUGGACCGACACUGACGCUGAGGCGCGAAAAGCGUGGGGGAGCAAACAGG
rnacentral:rRNA from 1 species